rnacentral:rRNA from 1 species
AGUGAACGCUGGCGGUAGGCCUAACACAUGCAAGUCGAACGGCAGCACAGUAAGAGCUUGCUCUUACGGGUGGCGAGUGGCGGACGAGUGAGGAAUACAUCGGAAUCUACUUUUUCGUGGGGGAUAACGUAGGGAAACUUACGCUAAUACCGCAUACGACCUACGGGUGAAAGCAGGGGAUCUUCGGACCUUGCGCGAUUGAAUGAGCCGAUGUCGGAUUAGCUAGUUGGCGGGGUAAGGGCCCACCAAGGCGACGAUCCGUAGCUGGUCUGAGAGGAUGAUCAGCCACACUGGAACUGAGACACGGUCCAGACUCCUACGGGAGGCAGCAGUGGGGAAUAUUGGACAAUGGGCGCAAGCCUGAUCCAGCCAUACCGCGUGAGUGAAGAAGGCCUUCGGGUUGUAAAGCCCUUUUGUUGGGAAAGAAAAGCAGCAGGUUAAUACCCCGCUGUUCUGACGGUACCCAAAGAAUAAGCACCGGCUAACUUCGUG